rnacentral:rRNA from 1 species
GAUGAACGCUGGCGGCGUGCCUAAUACAUGCAAGUCGAGCGAACAGAUGAGGAGCUUGCUCCUCUGACGUUAGCGGCGGACGGGUGAGUAACACGUGGAUAACCUACCUAUAAGACUGGGAUAACUUCGGGUAACCGGAGCUAAUACCGGAUAAUAUAUUGAACCGCAUGGUUCAAUAGUGAAAGACGGUUUUGCUGUCACUUAUAGAUGGAUCCGCGCCGCAUUAGCUAGUUGGUAAGGUAACGGCUUACCAAGGCAACGAUGCGUAGCCGACCUGAGAGGGUGAUCGGCCACACUGGAACUGAGACACGGUCCAGACUCCUACGGGAGGCAGCAGUAGGGAAUCUUCCGCAAUGGGCGAAAGCCUGACGGAGCAACGCCGCGUGAGUGAUGAAGGUCUUCGGAUCGUAAAACUCUGUUAUUAGGGAAGAACAAAUGUGUAAGUAACUAUGCACGUCUUGACGGUACCUAAUCAGAAAGCCACGGCUAACUACGUG